CAUAGCGACUAUCGUGGCAUAUCAAUAAGCGGAGGAAAAGAAACUAACAAGGAUUCCCUUAGUAACGGCGAGUGAAGCGGGAAGAGCUCAAAUUUGAAAUCUUCAAGGUUUUACCUUGACGAAUUGUAGUUUAAAGAAGUGUUUUCUGUUGAAGUUUUGGUAAAAGUUCUUUGGAAUAGGACAUCAUAGAGGGUGAGAAUCCCGUAUUUGACCAUUAUUUUCAGCUGUGUGAUACACUUUCAAAGAGUCGGAUUGUUUGGGAAUGCAGUCCAAAAUGGGUGGUAAAUUUCAUCUAAAGCUAAAUAUUGGCGAGAGACCGAUAGCGAACAAGUACCGUGAGGGAAAGAUGAAAAGAACUUUGAAAAGAGAGUUAAACAGUACGUGAAAUUGUCAAAAGGGAAGCGUUUGACACCAGUGUUGUUUUUCCGAAAAUCAAUUACGAAUGUUUUAGUUUUUGAGGAAGUUAUGACUUCAUCGGCUUGCUCCUUUCUUUAUGAAACUUUCUUAAUGCACUUUUCGGUUAACAAGUCAACAUCAAUUUCUUUUGUUGUAAAAGGGUAUGAGGAAGGUGGCUUUCUUUUCGGAGAAAGUGUUUAUAGCCUUGUGCCUCUGCAAUCGGAGAGAUUGAGGUCUGCAGCGUAGAUCCUUCGGGGUUAGAUACGUUUGUGCUUAGUUAUAGCUUUUCAUAGACAACUUGUUGACUAUGUUUAGUCUUGUAGCUUACUCGCUGACGCUAUUUUACCUACGCUUAGGAUGUUGAAGAUAUGCGCGACACG
rnacentral:rRNA from 1 species